rnacentral:lncRNA from 1 species
GAAGAUGGAGGAGAACGAGGAGAAGGUUUGGCAUCUCUCUUUUACGUACUCCAAAGUAUAUGAGAACACAACAUGAUGGAGCAAGAGAAUGUGGAAAUUGAUAUGAACAAUCUCAUAUCCAAACCAAUCUAAAAUAUAAGUUGAUAUGGGACAAUCCACUUUGAUCAUUUAUAUCGACCCCACAAGAUGACACAAGGUCUAUGUUAACCUUCCUAUGAAAGGUCAAUAGUGAAACAUUGACAUCAACAAUGUCCCAAAAAAAAAGGGGGGGAAAUAUGAAGAUUAGUUUUAGCAUGAAGAAAUAGAAGAAAAGAGGGGUAUUUAUAGGCAAAAAAGGAUGUCUCACUAGUCAAUCAAACGUGUAAAACACCACAUUUUAAUUCAAAAUCAUCUGACCUUCCAAAGACUUGUUGACCAAGCCACUGUCAAAAUUUUGGACUGCUGCAUAUUAUAUUAUUCGAACGCAAUACCAGUAUUGGUUUGGAUUAUAUAAAUUAAAAUGUUUCCAAACUCUAUUAAAAUAUGUGUUUUGGAGGGUUUGUCGUGUUUCAGGUUAUAUAACUUGAACGGCCGAACCAGUCAAAUAUAUGAUUUUUUGUGGUCCACAUUGCACCGAUAUUUUUUGUGGUCCAUAACACACAAAGUUUUCUAUAAAUUGACGUGUUUGAUUCAUUUGAAAAGCACAUCAUAGAAUCAUGAACACUUAUUCAAUAGAUAUGAAUAAUAAGCUAGUUGUAGUUUACUACAAUAGAGGGAAACAUAAUCUAUUUAGGGCCCACGUUGAUGUCAGACUAUCUGACUUGAAGGAUCAGUAACAUCACAUUAAUAGUCAUCUCAACCAGAUAGACGAAUCAAAAGUGGACACAGUUGAGUAUCGUCACAUGUCAAUCGACUUAGAUGGACGCACUCGGUUCACCCAAAUGAAGCUCUGAAACAACAACAACAAUGUGAGAACCAUGUUCUCUAUAUUUGGUCACUAUAGUUCAAUGGGAUCGAUCGAGUUUAACGCUUCCCUGGUUAAAUCUUUUCAUGAUAAUCAUGAAAGUUUGGUUAGGCCAAGAAUAUGAAGAAAUCAUUGCAUGGAUAGGCUAGAUGAAGAAUUUAAUUUUGUUGAUACAUGAUUCCGAUUGGUAAUAUUAGUGGGGAUAGUGGAGUGUGUUAGGAUGGUAACCACUUUAGCAAUUGGAAAGGGGAAGGGGUUCAAAACAAGUGUAGUAAUAUUUGUCAAAGAACAAAUAUUGGGUUGAGCUUAUUUUGCAUCUUUAACAAAUGGAGUAUAUCUAUCUAAUUAAGCUUCUAAUUCGGUAUAACUUUGGAUCUUCAAUUAAGUGUAAUCUUUGUGAGGAAUAACAGAUUUAUCAGAGCAGAUGCAAUAACCCUUUUCGUGAUUUUGGGUUGGCACGUUUCGAUCUAGGGUGGUUACAUUAAGUGGUGGAAUUUAUUCUCCAAUUCUAAUUAGAGUACAUGGAAUACGUAAAUCAAGGCUU